rnacentral:rRNA from 1 species
UACGUAGGGGGCAAGCGUUUGUCCGGAUUUAUUGGGCGUAAAGAGCUCGUAGGUGGUUCGGUAAGUCGGAUGUGAAAUCUCCAGGCUCAACCUGGAGGGGUCAUUCGAUACUGCCGUGACUAGAGUUCGGUAGGGGAGUGUGGAAUUCCCGGUGUAGCGGUGAAAUGCGCAGAUAUCGGGAAGAACACCCGUGGCGAAGGCGGCUCUCUGGGACGGUACUGACGCUGAGACGCGAAAAGCGUGGGGAGCGAACAGG